rnacentral:rRNA from 1 species
AUUGAACGCUGGCGGCAUGCUUUACACAUGCAAGUCGAACGGCAGCACGGGUGCUUGCACCUGGUGGCGAGUGGCGGACGGGUGAGUAAUACAUCGGAACGUAUCCAGAAGAGGGGGAUAACGCAUCGAAAGAUGUGCUAAUACCGCAUAUUCUCUGAGGAGGAAAGCAGGGGAUCGAAAGACCUUGCGCUUUGGGAGCGGCCGAUGUCUGAUUAGCUAGUUGGUGGGGUAAAGGCCUACCAAGGCGACGAUCAGUAGUUGGUCUGAGAGGACGACCAGCCACACUGGGACUGAGACACGGCCCAGACUCCUACGGGAGGCAGCAGUGGGGAAUUUUGGACAAUGGGCGCAAGCCUGAUCCAGCAAUGCCGCGUGAGUGAAGAAGGCCUCGGUUGUAAGGUACGUCUUUCUAGUCGUAGAAGAAAAAGAAC